GCUGCCUAUAAAGCUGUAACAGUUUAGCCCGUGGCCACUGAGGGAAGAAUAUAAGUUAACCUCUGUAGUGACCAUGUGGAAGUCCUGACCUUGCUUGCAGACUUGACCUCUGGAUAUGACAAGGUGGCUUCAAUACAGAUCUACCAAUUAAUCUUGGAAACUAAAAACCAAAAAAAACAAAAACAAAAACAAAAAACAAACAAACAAACAAAAAACUUCACAGCAAGAAAGAUACAGAAUAUUUCCUGCGAAGUCAGAAGAACCCAAUGUAUUCUGGUGGGCAAAGGAAAAUAGGGUGAGGUUCUGCAUUCACUGAUACAGCCCCCUUACUUCUCUCGGCUCAUGAAAAGAAGUGCUGAAUCAGCGAACAGAGUGAAGGAACAAUCACGAUGAAAUGGCUGCUGCUGAUGUGACUCUUUAGGUCACCAUCUCUCUUCCUCCUGCAAAUGCUGCAUGGCACUAAGCUUACCAGGAUCUAGAAGCAAACUACAAAAUAAGAAGAAAUUCUCUCUGAAGACUAUGAAGAAACAUUAGGCUGAUCUUCCCAAUUUCUGAAGUAUACUCUGUAAAAACUCCACUGAUUCUAUGAAUCUCUGGCAAAAACAACCAGACCAGGACAAAGUUCAACAGAUAACUGGUUAGUGUUUAGACAUGUCUAUGUCUACCAAGAACAAGGAACCAUAAAAGGCACUAAUGCUAUGAUUCAGGGAUAACAGAUGCUGACAUUAUCAAAUGCCAUGGCCUCUCCUUGCCCCGAUAUGGCCAGUAUAUGAAACUGCACUGCCAUCCAAAAGCACACUUGAGCAACUGGAUCUGCUAACCAGCUCCCAUAUAACCAGUAAAAAUAGAAGUCAGUUUUAUUGCUAUCUUCAGCACUUAAGUCUACGCAAUUUAACACCUGUUUCAUUUCUAUUAGAAUAAAUGGAAAGAAUCGUAGUUACAUUAAUUUCACCAGCAGCACGAUACUUAACAACCAACAGAUGCAGAAUAUACGUAAUAUGAGAAUUGUUUAAAUAUUGCCUAAAUUAGUGUUGACCUUCUCCCAGUUUAGUUCAAAACAUUAACUGUUUCUUUACUCUGCAUUUCACUGAAAGUACUUAAUUCAUUACUUUAUAGGCCAACUAUAAUUUCUCAAACUUUUAUUUUUGCAAGUAUAUUUCAGAGGAUAUCCCCUCCCUGAUUCUGAAAUGCAAAACUGAAAUCACAUUAUAGCAAAAAUCUGCUCUACUGACUUUUAAAGUAUUACUUACCUGAUUUUAAUAUUCAAGUUCACUGAUUAUAGCUGUACACCAAAAGUCAAUGUAUUAUUAAGCUGAUAAUGGAAGUAACUAGGCAAUCUGUACGCAAAAUGAUAGAGAAUUCCGCAGGGGAAACAGACUUGAAAAGGGUUACAUUACUAACCUAGGAUUAGUAACACUACAUAAGCAAAAACAAAGAAAAAAGCUGGCAUGCAUGGUAGUGCCUUUCAACACAAGUCCAAGCAAUACAGUGAAUACACAUGUGAUCUAUUUAUAAACCAAAGGGCAGAGGUACUUUCUUAAGGCCACUCAUAUUCCUCCAUCCCUUCCCUGUCAGCAACUUGCUAUUAGUCCUCAAGUAUAAUACUGAAGGAGCCACAGUAGAAAGGUAUGACUUUAGUGCUCUUCCCUAUUAGCUUAUUCACUUGGUUCAGUGCCUACAGACAAACAGAAAAUAGUACUCUGAAACACAUCAAGGUCUAUUUGUUCCUUUAAAUGCUGUUGGUUUUAAAAACAGGUUAUUGUCCACACUUAAGAAUUACACAAAGGUGUACACUGAUAAUCCCUUAAUACAUCAACAAAACAUGAAAGGGCAAAGACUUCUGUUCCAUUCGAGUAGGAAGGAGGAAAAGUGCCUUCAAAAUAGAAAAGUUUACAUGUAAUGACUCAACUACUACUGAUAGGAGAAUCUCUAACAUUUGUAGAACGUCCAUAACCAUAAUUAUACAAAUAAAAAACAGCUCUGCUGUUUUGUAUCCCAAACUAGCAACACUGCAAUGCUUUGCUAGAGCUGGUAAAAUGGAACCAAAUCGCCUCUUCAAUGGAUUUGGUCCCCUUCAACCAGCUGUAGCUAUGCAUUGAUUACUACAGGACUGCCAACGUUUCACUGAUAAAUAUCAAUCACAUGUAAAUGAAUUUCAGCUUAUUUACAUUAUUUGGAUUGUGGUUUCAAUCAAAUAAUUUGUUACUGUUAAUUCCCCUUGGAAGAACCAUAGUGGUUAACAAUGUUUAUAAAAUGUUUUAUGAAAAAUGUGUGGACAACUUAAGGAUUGCAAAUAAAAUAAUUUUACUUAUUUA